AGAACGAACGCUGGCGGCAUGCCUAAUACAUGCAAGUCGAACGAACUCUUCGGAGUUAGUGGCGCACGGGUGCGUAACGCGUGGGAAUCUGCCCCUUGGUUCGGAAUAACAGUUGGAAACGACUGCUAAUACCGGAUGAUGACGAAAGUCCAAAGAUUUAUCGCCAAGGGAUGAGCCCGCGUAGGAUUAGCUAGUUGGUGAGGUAAAGGCUCACCAAGGCAACGAUCCUUAGCUGGUCUGAGAGGAUGAUCAGCCACACUGGGACUGAGACACGGCCCAGACUCCUACGGGAGCAGCAGUAGGGAAUAGUGGACAAUGGGACGAAAGCCUGAUCCAGCAAUGGCCGCGUGAGUGAUAGAAGGUCCGUUAGGGUUAGUAAAGCUUACGUUUACCGAGAUGAUAAUAGAACAGUA
rnacentral:rRNA from 1 species